rnacentral:rRNA from 1 species
GAGAUCCGGGAUAACACCUGGGAAACAGAUGCUAAUACCGGAUAAUAACAGAUGAUGCCUAUCAACUGUUUAAAAGAUGGUUCUGCUAUCACUCUUGGGAUGGACCUGCGGUGCAUUAGCUAGUUGGUAGGUAAUGGGCCUACCAAGGCGAUGAUGCAUAGCCCGAGUUGAGAGACUGAUCGGGCCACAUUGGGGACUGAGACACGGGCCCAAAACUCCUACGGGGAGGCAGCAGUAGGGAAUCUUCCACAAUGGACGCAAGUCUGAUGGAGCAACGCCGCGUGAGUGAAGAAGGGUUUCGGCUCGUAAAAGCUCUGUUGUUGGUGAAGAAGGACAGGGGUAGUAACUGACCUUUGUUUGACGGUAAUCAAUUAGAAGUCACGGCUAACUACGUGCCAGCAGCCGCGGUAAU